GCCCCGGUAGCUCAGCUGGAUAGAGCAAUCGCCUCCUAAGCGAUAGGUCGCAGGUUCGAAUCCUGCCCGGGGCA
rnacentral:tRNA from 1 species